UCCGUCCGCUCUGUGCAGACGUAGUGGAGCUCCCACGGCCUGUGGCUUCGCAGUUCCUCUUCUGUGAAUCGCCAAGAUCACGCGCUCCUCCCCAGACACUGGUUCCUCCCCACAGUCCUUCCCCUCCACUCCCUUCCCAUUCUCUGCUCACGCAGGGAGCCCAGGAAGCCUCCGCCUCAGAGAUGCUACGGCUGCUGCUGCUCCUGCUGUGGGCAGAGGCCCUGGCUGAGGAGCAGAGAUUCCAGCUGGAAGGACCAGAGUCCUUGACGGUGCAGGAGGGUCUGUGCGUCCUCGUACCCUGCAGAUUGCCCGUUACCAAUUCACGCUGGUACAAUUAUUAUGGCUACUGGUUCUUGGAAGGGGCUGAUGUUCCAGUGGCCACAAAUGACCCAGAUGAAGAAGUGCAGGAGGAGACCCGGGGCCGAUUCCGCCUCCUCUGGGAUCUCAGCAGUAAGAACUGCUUCCUGAACAUCAGAGAUGCCCGGAGGAGGGACAGUGCUGUGUACUUCUUCAGGUUGAAGCGGAAAUGGAUAUCUGAUUAUACCUUUUAUACAUAUUCCAAGCUCUCUGUGCGUGUGAUGGCCCUGACCCACAGGCCCAACCUCUCCAUCCCAGGGACCCUGGAGUCCGGCUGUUCCAGGACCCUGACCUGCUCUGUGCCCUGGGCCUGUGAGCAGGGGACGCCCCCGAUCUUCUCCUGGAUGUCAGCUGCCCCCACCUCCCUGGGCCCCAGGACCACCCAGUCCUCGGUGCUCACGAUCACCCCACGGCCCCAGGACCACGGCACCAACCUCACCUGUCAGGUGACGUUCCCUGGAGUCGGUGUGACCGUGGAGAGAACCAUCCAGCUCAAUGUCUCCUGGAUGUUGAGGCUGCCACCUCUUUCCACCCCAGAUGCUCCACAGAAAGUGACCGUCAGCAUCUUCCAAGGAAACAGCACAGCCCUCAAAAUCCUGCAAAACACCUCGUCCCUCCCUGUCCUGGAGGGCCAGGCUCUGCGGCUGCUCUGUGAUGCUGACGGCAACCCCCCUGCGCACCUGAGCUGGUUCCAUGGCUUCCCUGCCCUGAACGCCACACCCGUCUCCAAUACCGGGGUCCUGGAGCUGUCUCAAGUAGGGUCUGCAGAAGAAGGAGGUUUCACCUGCCUCGCUCAGCACCCUCUGGGCUCCCUGCAAAUCUCUCUGAGUCUCUUUGUGCAAUGUCAUGCUCUGAGGUGCUGGGAGUUAGGACUUCAAAAUAGGAAUUGUGGGGAGACAUAAUUUAACCCUAACUGCUCCAGAGAAAUGAAGCUUGGAGAAGACGUUUCCAAGGCCCAGACCAGAGUGGCUGGGGGCACAACGUCCUCAGUCUUGCAGUUGGGGGAAGGGGGAGUCAUGGAGAGAGAAGAGGCUGGUUCCGGGUUCACAGGGCAGUGAAAUGGGAAACCAGAAGGCGGGGUUGGUGGUGUCCUGGGAGCAGUCUGGGGAGCUGGCACCACAGCCCUGGUUUUCCUCUGUGUUUGCUUCAUCUUCAGAGUGAAGACCAGAAGGAAGAAAGCAGCCCAGCCAGUGCAAAACAUGGACGAUAUGAACCCCGUCAUGGUCUUAGGCUCCAGGAGUCAUCAGCACCAGUUCCAGAGAGGCAUAGUUUCAGACCACUCUGCUGAGGCUGACCCCAUCUCAGGAGAUGAGCAGGAGCUCCACUAUGCUUUCCUACGCUUCCACAAGGUGCAGCUUCAGAAACCAGAGGUCACCAACACGGAAUACUCAGAAAUCAAGAUACGCAAGUGAGGAAUUGUCCAAAGCCAUAACCUUGAUUGGAGACAACAUGGUACCUCUCAGUGUAUUGGUUACUAGGGCUGCCACAGCAACGUACCACAGACUGAGUGACGUAAACACAGAACUUUAUUUUCUUAUAGUUUUACAUGUUAGAGGUCUGAGAACAAGGUGUUAUCAGGGUUGGUUCCUUCUAAGGCCUCUCUUGUGUCUUCACAUGGUCUUACCUCUGAGUGUGUUUAUGUCCUAAUCUUCUCUUCUUAUAAAGACACUAGUCAUAUUGGAUUAGGGCUUCUCUAUGACAUAAUUUAAAUAAAUUAACUAUUUAAAGACCCUCCAAAUACAGUAACCUUCUGAGAUACUGGGAUUUAAGACUUCCAACAUAUGAAUUUUAGAAGGGAACAACUUAACCCAUAGCACUGUGUCCAAUUUUUUUUAAUAUUAAUAUUUUUGUUGUCAAUGGUCUAUAUAAAUUCCUUAGUAUAUAUGGCAGAUCACAGGACUUCUGUCCAAGAGAACUGAGUUCAACUCUAUCUAUGCCAGUUACCGAGCAAGUCACUUUGUCUCCCUACUCUGUAAGGCAGGGAAAUAAUUUCCAUCUAACCAGAUUAUUGUGAAAGGUCAAAGAAAGCAGCUAACGUACAGCUUUGCCAGCUGUAAAACAGCUAACAAAGGCCCUGACACAAAGUUUUUCAUAAAAUUCUGUAUAUUAUUGUAAAUAAAUGCCUUGUAUCUGGCUUUGGUUA